AACGAACGCUGGCGGCGUGCUUAACACAUGCAAGUCGAACGGACUCUUCGGAGUUAGUGGCGGACGGGUGAGUAAUACAUAGAUAAUCUGCCUUCAGGUGGGGGAUAACUAAGCGAAAGUUUAGCUAAUACCGCAUAAUGUAGUUAGUUGAAAUACUAAUUAAGAAAGGAUUUAUUCGCUUUUAGAGGGGUCUAUGGUUGAUUAGCUAGUUGGUGAGGUAAUGGCUCACCAAGGCGACGAUCAAUAGCUGGUCUGAGAGGACGAUCAGCCACACUGGGACUGAGACACGGCCCAGACUUCUACGGAAGGCAGCAGUGGGGAAUUUUCCGCAAUGGGCGAAAGCCUGACGGAGCGACGCCGCGUGGAGGAUGAAGUUUUUAGGAAUGUAAACUCCUUUCAGCAGGGACGAAAACAAUGACGGUACCUGCAGAAGAAGCAUCGGCUAACUACGUGCCAGCCGCCGCGGUAA
rnacentral:rRNA from 1 species